GCUUGCUUUCUUUGCUGACGAGUGGCGGACGGGUGAGUAAUGCUUGGGAAUCUGGCUUAUGGAGGGGGAUAACUACGGGAAGCUGUAGCUAAUACCGCGUAAUAUCUUCGGAUUAAAGGGUGGGACUUUCGGGCCACCUGCCAUAAGAUGAGCCCAAGUGGGAUUAGGUAGUUGGUUAGGUAAAGGCUGACCAAGCCGACGAUCUCUAGCUGGUCUGAGAGGAUGACCAGCCACACUGGAACUGAGACACGGUCCAGACUCCUACGGGAGGCAGCAGUGGGGAAUAUUGCACAAUGGGGGGAACCCUGAUGCAGCCAUGCCGCGUGAAUGAAGAAGGCCUUCGGGUUGUAAAGUUCUUUCGGUAGCGAGGAAGGUGGUUAUGUAAAUAGCAUAAUCAAUUGACGUUAACUACAGAAGAAGCACCGGCUAACUCCGUGCCAGCAGCCGCGGUAAUACGGGGGGUGCGAGCGUUAAUCGGAAUAACUGGGCGUAAAGGGCACGCAGGCGGUGACUUAAGUGAGAUGUGAAAGCCCCGAGCUUAACUUGGGAAUUGCAUUUCAUACUGGGUCGCUAGAGUACUUUAGGGAGGGGUAGAAUUCCACGUGUAGCGGUGAAAUGCGUAGAGAUGUGGAGGAAUACCGAAGGCGAAGGCAGCCCCUUGGGAAUGUACUGACGCUCAUGUGCGAAAGCGUGGGGAGCAAACAGGAUUAGAUACCCUGGUAGUCCACGCUGUAAACGAUGUCGAUUUGGGGAUUGGGCUUUAAGCUUGGUGCCCGUAGCUAACGUGAUAAAUCGACCGCCUGGGGAGUACGGCCGCAAGGUUAAAACUCAAAUGAAUUGACGGGGGCCCGCACAAGCGGUGGAGCAUGUGGUUUAAUUCGAUGCAACGCGAAGAACCUUACCUACUCUUGAC
rnacentral:rRNA from 1 species